UUGAGCCGUAUGAAGGGAAACUUUCACGUACGGUUCUUAGGGGGGAAUGGGGCUCAGAGGCCCCAGACCUACCCGGU
rnacentral:ncRNA from 1 species